rnacentral:rRNA from 1 species
GCCUGCGGCCACACCACCCUGAAAGUGUCUGAUCUCCGAAGCGAUACAGGGUCGGGCCUGGUUAGUACCUGGAUGGGAGACCGCCUGGGAAUACCAGGUGUCGUAGGCU